rnacentral:miRNA from 1 species
GUGUGUGUGUGUGUGUGUGUGUGUGUGUGUGUGUGUGUGUGUGUGUGUAUAUAUAUAUAUAUAUAUAUAUGUACACACACACACACACACACACACUCACAGACACACAGACACAC